AGCAGCCGCGGUAAUUCCAGCUCCAAUAGCGUAUAUUAAAGUUGUUGCAGUUAAAAAGCUCGUAGUUGAAUUUCGGGGUCAGCAGGUUGGUCGUGCCAAUGGUAUGCACUGGCCUUGCUGAUUCCUCCCUCUUGUAGAACCGUAAUGCCAUUAAGUUGGUGUUGCGGGGAAACAGGACUGUUACUUUGAAAAAAUUAGAGUGUUUAAAGCAGGCUA
rnacentral:rRNA from 1 species